AUAAUGAUACAUAGCUAUAUUCGUCGCGGGUCUGUUUAUAAUUCUGAGCAUUUCAAUAUGGAACAAAGGCUACCUAAUUGUUGAUGUAGUACUCGUCUCGCUACGUUUUUCUGUGCUCAUAAUUUACAUUGAUUCCCAAUGAGAUCUUUUGUAGUUUUUUUUCUUGUUUGUUACGAUUCAUUUCAAGGACACGGUUGAAGUAUAAAUGUUACUAAAAUCAUAAAAAUAAAGCAGUAUCAUUGUGAAACCAGAGGGCGGAAGGACUGCUACCACUACACAAAUAAAAAUUAUAAAAAAAUAAAAAAUGUUCGCCAAACUGAUUAUCCUCUUCGCCGUGUUGGCUUUCGCCAUGGCUAGACCGCAGUUAUAUUCCGGCUAUGGUUACAACGGCUACUCGCCCGGCUACCCCGGCUACUAUGGCGGCUACUCCGGCUACGCAAGCCCAUUGGCUUACAGUGGCUAUGGGGCCUAUGCGGGUUCUCCUUACAGCUACGGUUACGGUUAUUAUUAAAGGAUACAGUUAAGACAAAUAAAUGACAAACAAAUAAAUGUUAACAGUACGAUUUAAACUUAAUGGCGGCUCGGAACAUGGUACGAUCCGAUGCGCAGAAAACAAUUUUAGAUAUUAGCGGGACGUUAAGGGACCUGUGCGCACCCGCACUCGCACCUGCAAUAACUUACGAACCGCGAUUAAGUUUGAAUCGAACUGUACAUGGUAUGAUUGGAACUAUGCAAUAGUUCAAAUGAGAUUUUAAAAUGUUGUAAAAAUUUGCCCGGAUAUUAUUAUAUUGUGAUAUGUU